rnacentral:rRNA from 1 species
CCGGCGCACGGGUGAGUAACACGUAUGAAACCUGCCCGUAGCAGGGGGAUAAGCGGAAGAAAUUCCGUCUAAUACCGCGUAACAACCCAUGGAGGCAUCUCUGUGGGUCUAAAGGAAGCGAUUCCGGCUACGGAUGGUCAUGCGUCGCAUUAGCUUGUUGGCGGGUAACGGCCCACCAAGGCGACGAUGCGUAGGGGUUCUGAGAGGAAGGUCCCCCACACUGGUACUGAGACACGGACCAGACUCCUACGGAAGGCAGCAG